rnacentral:rRNA from 1 species
GGACUACCGGGGUAUCUAAUCCUGUUUGAUCCCCACACUUUCGUGCCUCAGCGUCAAAUAUAACAUAGUGAGCUGCCUUCGCAAUCGAUAUUCUGUGUGAUAUCUAAGCAUUUCACCGCUACACCACACAUUCCACUCACUUCUACUACUUUCUAGUCAAGCAGUAUCAACGGCACACUUACAGUUGAGCUGCAAAAUUUCACCGCUGACUUACCAAACCGCCUACGCACCCUUUAAACCCAAUAAAUCCGGAUAACGCUUGCAUCCCCCGUAUUACCGCGGCGGCUGGCAC